GCGCAAGUGGUUUAGUGGUAAAAUCCAACGUUGCCAUCGUUGGGCCCCCGGUUCGAUUCCGGGCUUG
rnacentral:tRNA from 1 species